rnacentral:rRNA from 1 species
UACAGAGGUCUCAAGCGUUGUUCGGAUUCAUUGGGCGUAAAGGGUGCGUAGGUGGUGGGGUAAGUCGGAUGUGAAAUCCCGGGGCUCAACCCCGGAACUGCAUUCGAAACUGCCUUGCUCGAGUACUGGAGAGGAGACUGGAAUUUACGGUGUAGCAGUGAAAUGCGUAGAUAUCGUAAGGAAGACCGGUGGCGAAGGCGGGUCUCUGGGCAAUUCCUGACGCUGAGGCGCGAAAGCGUGGGGAGCAAACGGG